rnacentral:rRNA from 1 species
CCUACGGGUGGCAGCAGUAGGGAAUCUUCCACAAUGGACGCAAGCCUGAACGAGCAACGCCGCGUGAGUGAAGAAGGGCUUCGGCUCGUAAAGCUCUGUUUGGAGUGAAGAAAGAUAGAGGUAGUAAAUGGCCUUUAUUUGACGGUAAUUACUUAGCAAGUCACGGCUAACUACGUGCCAGCAGCCGCGGUAAUACGUAGGUGGCAAGCGUUGUCCGGAUUUAUUGGGCGUAAAGCGUGUGCAGGCGGUCCAGUAAGUCUGAUGUGAAAGGCAUGGGCUCAACCCGAGCAUGGCAUCGGAAACUGUUGAACUUGAGUGCAGAAGAGGGCAGUGGAACUCCAUGUGUAGCGGUGAAAUGCGUAGAUAUAUGGAAGAACACCAGUGGCGAAGGCGGCUCUCUGGUCUGCAACUGACGCUGAGGCACGAAAGCGUGGGUAGCGAACAGGAUUAGAUACCCUAGUAGUC